CCUUGGCACCUACAACUUCAGCUGCCAGACCUACCAGAUUGUCAUCGGAGCAUUCAGCAACCAAAGCCCACUGAUGGACAACGACAGAAAGCGAGCAGUCUUUACUCACUUCAUCCAACCAUUCCUUUCCAGAAAGGAUUUGCCAGACCCAGGCUGUGUGUCAUCCGCCAAUAGUAGUCAGCUCUGGCUACAGGCCAACUUUGGCAAUUUCUCUCAAUUUGCCAGUGUAGAGGAUCUGCAAGCCCUUUAUCCC